UACGAAGGGGGCUAGCGUUGCUCGGAAUCACUGGGCGUAAAGGGUGCGUAGGCGGGUCUUUAAGUCAGGGGUGAAAUCCUGGAGCUCAACUCCAGAACUGCCUUUGAUACUGAAGAUCUUGAGUCCGGGAGAGGUGAGUGGAACUGCGAGUGUAGAGGUGAAAUUCGUAGAUAUUCGCAAGAACACCAGUGGCGAAGGCGGCUCACUGCCCGGUACUGACGCUGAGGCACGAAAGCGUGGGGAGCAAACAGG
rnacentral:rRNA from 1 species